AUCCUGGCUCAGGAUGAACGCUAGCGGCAGGCUUAACACAUGCAAGUCGAGGGGCAGCGGGUGUAGCAAUACAUGCCGGCGACCGGCGAAAGGGUGAGUAACGCGUGAGCAACGUGCCCGUAUGUGGGGGAUAGUCGAUGGAAACGUCGCGUAAUACCCCGUAACACAAUUUCCCGCAUGGGGAGAUGUUGAAAGAUUUGAUUGCAUACGGAUCGGCUCGCGUGCCAUUAGGUAGACGGCGGGGUAACGGCCCACCGUGCCGACGAUGGCUAGGGGUUCUGAGAGGAAGGUCCCCCACAUUGGAACUGAGACACGGUCCAGACUCCUACGGGAGGCAGCAGUGAGGAAUAUUGGACAAUGGCCGGAAGGCUGAUCCAGCCAUGCCGCGUGAAGGAUAAGGUCCUAUGGAUUGUAAACUUCUUUUGAGUGGGAGCAAUAAGGUGUACGUGUACACCGAUGAGAGUACCAUUCGAAUAAGCAUCGGCUAACUCCGUGCC
rnacentral:rRNA from 1 species